UGUGCCUGGAGGACGAGAGUCCCCUGCGGCGCCCUGAAAUCCAGCCGCCGUGUUAGUGAUCCGAGAAAUCUGACAGAUAGCAUAGUUGGGCUGCAAUAGCGAUGGCAAGAGAGACCAUCAAUCUUAUUAGAUGCGUCACUUGGGAUCAAUGAGUAAGUCUGGGCAAACUGGCAAUUACUUUCAAGCCAAACUUAAAGAUUUUACCAGAAAAAGCAGAAAAUGGUCGAGAGCUAAACUUCCCUCUGAGCUUUUCUUAGUUCUCACCUUAUCAUCUUUUCCUCCAAGCGAAUAUUGUGUCAUCUUGAACUUGAGUGUGUCAACUUCAUUCUUGUCAUACUUCAAUUUUUGCUUGCACCAUUUUUGUCCAUCUCCUUUCUUCAUGGACUCUGUGAGGCGCAGAUUCCAGCUGCCUUUGCCCACCGGCACUUUCCGUAUCGGCUUUCCUUUUCUAUAAUAAAAGAGACGUGUGA
rnacentral:lncRNA from 1 species